rnacentral:rRNA from 1 species
GGUAAAGGCCCACCAAACCCAAGAUCUGUAAGGGCCCUGAGAGGGGUAGCCCUGAGAAGGUCACUGAGAUACUGGACCUAGCCCUACGGGGUGCAGCAGGCGCGAAACCUUUACACUGCACGCAAGUGUGAUAAGGGAAUCCCGAGUGCUCAUGUUUUACAUGGGCUUUUGAGAUGAGUAAAAAUCAUUUCGAAUAAGUGGUGGGAAAGACUGGUGCCAGCAGCCGCGGUAACACCAGCGCCACAAGUGGGAAUCACAUUUAUUGGGCCUAAAGCGUCCGUAGCCGGUUUGGCAAAUCUUUUGUGAAAUUGUUGGGCCUAACUCAACAAACUGCAAGAGACACUACCAAACUUGGAACCGGGAGGAGUCAGAAGUAUUCCGGGGGGAGCGGUAAAAUGUUAUAAUCCUCGGAGGACUACCUGUGGCGAAGGCGUCUGACUAGAACGGAUUCGACGGUGAGGGACGAAAGCUAGGGGAGCAAACCGGAUUAGAUACCCGAGUAGUCCUAGCUGUAAACUCUGCGAGCUAGGUGUUGUGUAUUCUACUGGAAUAUGCAGUACCGAAGCGAAGGUGUUAAGCUCGCCGCCUGGGAAGUAUGGUCGCAAGGCUGAAGCUUAAAGGAAUAGGCGGGGGAGCACCACAAGGGGUGCGGCGUGCGGUUUAAUCUAAUUCUACACAGAGAAUCUCACCAGAGGCGACGGCAGUAUGAUGGUCAAGCUGAAGACUUUACCUGACGAGCCGAGAGGUAGUGCAUGGCCGCCGUCAGCUCGUGCUGUAAGGUGUCCUGUUAAGUCAGGCAACGAGCGAGACCUGCAUCUACAAUUGCCAGCAAGUCCAUAUGGAUGAUUGGGCACAUUGUAGGGACUGCCCUGGAAACAGGGAGGAAGGUGCAGGCUACGGUAGGUCUGUAUGCUCCGAAUCUUCUGGGCUACACGCGCGCAACAAUGGCAGGAACAAUGGGCUACAACUCCGAAAGGAGAAGUUAAUCCUCGAAAUCCUGUUCUAGUCCAGAUUGAGGGUUGGAACCCACCCUCAUGACGAUGGAAUCCCUAGUAAUUGGAAGUUAUCAGCUUCCAGUGAAUAUGUCCCUGCUCCUUGCACUCACUGCCCGUCAAACCACUCGAGCAGGGCUCGGAUGAGGCUCAGUUUAUUGACUGUUCCGAAUCCGAGUUCAGUAAGAUGGGUUAAGUCGUCACAAGGUA